CCAGAUGGAACUUUAAAACUUUGUAUGUUGGGCCGAAUUUCCCAAUCCUAUAAAGGGCUUUUAGUAAUCGGAGUAUUGUUGGCUUUGGGAAUUUGCUCUGUCUCCAUUUCAGAAAAAAAUUUCUUGUUUGUUCCAGAAGUUUAUUCUUAUGUUCAGGCUGAAUCUGUUGUAUAUAAGAUACAUCUAUUUCUAACUUGAUUGCAAGUUGCAUGGAACUGUUUCCAAUGUGGUUAGACAAAUCAUAAAGUACGUCAACUGGCGGAAGUUUGUUUAAGACCUCUUCUGACAUAUC
rnacentral:lncRNA from 1 species